UACGAAGGUGGCAAGCGUUGUUCGGAUUUACUGGGCGUAAAGGGCGCGCAGGCGGUUCUGUUUGUCGAGUGUGAAAGCCCCGGGCUCAACCUGGGAACUGCGCUCGAAACGGCGGAACUAGAGUUCGGGAGAGGAGAGUGGAAUUCCCAGUGUAGAGGUGAAAUUCGUAGAUAUUGGGAAGAACACCGGUGGCGAAGGCGGCUCUCUGGACCGAUACUGACGCUGAGGCGCGAAAGCGUGGGGAGCAAACAGG
rnacentral:rRNA from 1 species